rnacentral:rRNA from 1 species
UACGUAGGCAGCAAGCGUUGUUCGGAGUUACUGGGCGUAAAGGGUGUGUAGGCGGUUUCUUAAGUUUGCUGUGAAAUCUCCCGGCUUAACCGGGAGGGUGCGGUGAAUACUGAGGGACUAGAGUACGGGAGAGGAAAGUGGAAUUCCUGGUGUAGCGGUGAAAUGCGUAGAUAUCAGGAGGAACACCGGUGGUGUAGACGGCUUUCUGGACCGUAACUGACGCUGAGACACGAAAGCGUGGGUAGCAAACAGG